CUUCUCGAAGUUGACCAGUCCAUCUACUUUUGAGUCAUUUCCUGGGAUGAACAGAGGAGGAACAAGAAGUCACAUCCUGUCGGUUGUGGGCUCCCACCACAGCAGACAGAGCCCACCUCUGCUCACCCUCAUGGAGGAAGGUUGGCACAGCUGGUUUUUGAUUUGAGUCUGAACAAAUCAUCGAUGUAUUCAGUAGGCUCGAUGUUGCGGAAGAGUUCAAAGUUCCUCAUGGAGAGCUGCGUGGCGACCUCCACAGUGCUGAGCUGAAGUAGCGAGAUCUGGCUCUCACGCAACAGCUCCUGGGCAUCUUCAUCCGAGCAGAGCGUUUCGGUUUCCAUGUUGUUCUUCAG